rnacentral:rRNA from 1 species
GUAGGCUAACACAUGCAAGUCGAACGGCAGCACAGGAGAGCUUGCUCUCUGGGUGGCGAGUGGCGGACGGGUGAGGAAUACAUCGGAAUCUACUUUUUCGUGGGGGAUAACGUAGGGAAACUUACGCUAAUACCGCAUACGACCUACGGGUGAAAGCAGGGGAUCUUCGGACCUUGCGCGAUUGAAUGAGCCGAUGUCGGAUUAGCUAGUUGGCGGGGUAAAGGCCCACCAAGGCGACGAUCCGUAGCUGGUCUGAGAGGAUGAUCAGCCACACUGGAACUGAGACACGGUCCAGACUCCUACGGGAGGCAGCAGUGGGGAAUAUUGGACAAUGGGCGCAAGCCUGAUCCAGCCAUACCGCGUGGGUGAAGAAGGCCUUCGGGUUGUAAAGCCCUUUUGUUGGGAAAGAAAUCCAGCUGGCUAAUACCCGGUUGGGAUGACGGUACCCAAAGAAUAAGCACCGGCUAACUUCGUGCCAGCAGCCGCGGUAAUACGAAGGGUGCAAGCGUUACUCGGAAUUACUGGGCGUAAAGCGUGCGUAGGUGGUCGUUUAAGUCCGUUGUGAAAGCCCUGGGCUCAACCUGGGAACUGCAGUGGAUACCGGACGACUAGAGUGUGGUAGAGGGUAGCGGAAUUCCUGGUGUAGCAGUGAAAUGCGUAGAGAUCAGGAGGAACAUCCAUGGCGAAGGCAGCUACCUGGACCAACACUGACACUGAGGCACGAAAGCGUGGGGAGCAAACAGGAUUAGAUANCCUGGUAGUCCACGCCCUAAACGAUGCGAACUGGAUGUUGGGUGCAAUUUGGCACGCAGUAUCGAAGCUAACGCGUUAAGUUCGCCG